rnacentral:rRNA from 1 species
AGCAGCCGCGGUAAUUCCAGCUCCAAUAGCGUAUAUUAAAGUUGUUGCAGUUAAAAAGCUCGUAGUUGAAUUUCGGGAUUGACGUGACGGUCAUGCCUUAAGGGGUAUGAACUGUUACAGUUGAUUUCUCACCUUCUGGAGAAACUUGAUGUCCUUUAUUGGGUGUCUUGCGGAUCCAGGACCUUUACCUUGAAAAAUUAGAGUGUUUAAAGCAGGCAUUUUUGCUCGAAUACAUUAGCAUGGAAUAAUAGAAUAGGACGGCAUGGUUCUAUUUUGUUGGUUUCUAGGAUCACCGUAAUGAUUAAUAGGGAUAGUUGGGGGCAUUAGUAUUCAAUUGUCAGAGGUGAAAUUCUUGGAUUUAUUGAAGACUAACUACUGCGAAAGCAUUUGCCAAGGAUGUUUUCAUUAAUCAAGAACGAAAGUUAGGGGAUCGAAGACGAUCAGAUACCGUCGUAGUCUUAACCAUAAACUAUGCCGACUAGGAAUCAGACGAUGUUAAUUUUUAAUGACUCG